GUGCUCACUUUGGCGGCCCAUACACUAAAACUGGAAUGAUACUGAGAUGCUUAGCAUGGCUCCUGUGCAAAGAUCACAUGUAAAUCUGAGGUAUUCCAUAUUUUU
ensembl:snRNA U6 U6 spliceosomal RNA